UACGGGGGGGGCAAGCGUUGUUCGGAAUUACUGGGCGUAAAGGGCGCGUAGGCGGCCUGCUAAGUCGGACGUGAAAUCCCUCGGCUCAACCGGGGAACUGCGUCCGAUACUGGCGAGGCUUGAAUCCGGGAGAGGGAUGUGGAAUUCCAGGUGUAGCGGUGAAAUGCGUAGAUAUCUGGAGGAACACCAGUGGCGAAAGGCGAGCCAUCCUGG
rnacentral:rRNA from 1 species